UCUGGUGUCAGCCGCCGCGGUAAAACCAGCACCUCAAGUGGUCAGGAUGAUUAUUGGGCCUAAAGCAUCCGUAGCCGGCUCUAUAAGUUUUCGGUUAAAUCUGUACGCUUAACGUACAGGCUGCCGGGAAUACUGCAGAGCUAGGGAGUGGGAGAGGUAGACGGUACUCGGUAGGAAGGGGUAAAAUCCUUUGAUCUAUUGAUGACCACCUGUGGCGAAGGCGGUCUACCAGAACACGCCCGACGGUGAGGGAUGAAAGCUGGGGGAGCAAACCGGAUUAGAUACCCGGGUAGUCCCAGCUGUAAACUAUGCAAACUCAGUGAUGCAUUGGCUUGUGGCCAAUGCAGUGUUGCAGGGAAGCCGUUAAGUUUGCCGCCUGGGAAGUACGUACGCAAGUAUGAAACUUAAAG
rnacentral:rRNA from 2 species